AAGUGGAACAAAUGUUCUGUCAUAGCCAAUUAAAUUAAAGUAUUUUAUUUUUGGGACAUUUUGGGGCAUUCGAAAUUGAUCCAAGUGAUUUAAGUCAAUUUAAAGUACUAAAAGUCAAUAAAUUGAUUUGUCACUGUAAUAAAAACUGCAGGCAAAUAUUUGCUUCGCUUUAAAGAAUUGAUAUGUAUAAACAUUGAUUUUUAUAAAUUCACAUAAAAACAUAACAAUGAAUUAUUUCCUGGAACUUUGGAACACAUAAUCGCGACUUUGAAAGAUAAUUACGUGUGUUGUUGUUAUUUUUCAGAAGAAAGAAUUACUCUGGAAGUUCUCAAAAUAAUGACCUACAAUCAAAUGCAAGAUCUGAUACAAAACUGAAAAAAUAUGCGACAAAGUUGUUUUUACAUAUAAUUUAGAAAAAUUGAGAGAUAAGGAAAACCUUCCAAUUAAAACCACCAAUAUAAUUAAA
rnacentral:sRNA from 1 species